UCUGGCGAGUGAGCCUCCCACUGCCAUACCACCCUGUCUCCUCUCCUGGUGAGCCUGGGAACCCGUUCACUACUACGCAGAUGCCUUCGGGAGCCAGAAGCGAAUGGGGAAAUGGACGUGGUGCAGAGAAGCGGCAGAGCCACCGCAGACGCUUGGCUGCGCGAACACCAGAGCCGGAGCGAGCUCUCGCUCUUGGAAGACCUUCGAAGCCUAGACCUCCCACAGACCCUGCGCUCCCCACGUAGCAGGAGCACUAGACAUCCCACAGGAGUCUGACUCCCCGAAGUGUGGACGCUUGGUGCUUUGAGAUGUUCCGCCUGACCGUAGGGGCAGUGGAAGGGGUGACCACACUGCAGCCCAGCCUGCUUAGACUCCAAGACAGCACUGCAUGCUCUGCAGCAGGGGCAUGGCCCUGGAAGCCUUCUUUUGUCUGGCGCUCAUCAGAGACCAUGGGAGGUGCUGGCAGCAUGUGGAGUAUCAUCCGGAGCUUCCUUUGGUUUCUGAGAGUAGCCCCAGGGCCAGCCUUGCAAGUACAAUGGAAGCCUGAGUAUGAAAACAGUUCAUGUGAAUGGAGCCACAUUUGUUCCCUUGGGAAAUACAUAUAUAUGGAGUGACUGCACUAGUCCAGGCCCAGGAGCUGCGAACAAGGAAGGCCUGGCAGAGUAGAGAGAGUAAGAGAGAAGAGAAACAAAGUUAAUGGCAGACCGCCAUGCGCCACAGAGAGAAGUGAAGGGAGGAAGAGAGAACAGGCAGAGAGAGAGAAGAGAGAAGAGAAGGAAGAGCGCAUAAGUGGGCAGGGAUCCUUUACACCUGCGUGCAGACUUAGUUCCCAUGGAACCCUGGGCUGACUGGGUAUUGCCUGAGUGGAUUCUGCCAGGGUUACGGGGAAUUUCGGGGAUCCUAGAAUCCGAACACACAACCCACUUUCCAUCUCGGUUUUCCCGGCCUUACCUCCUGCCUGUGGUGGCUUGAGAUGCCAGAACUCUGUACGCUUCAACUUGCCGCUUUUCAAACUAAGGAUCUUUGGAAUCCACUCAUCUGCCUGUUGGCUGCAGUCUGGUAAGAUACCCCUUAAAUUUCCCAAGGUCAGGUUUGGAAUCCCACUCCAGGAGAGGUGCUUUUUGGCUUUUCAGUUCGGACCACUGGGUCCUUUUGGUUUCGGGAUAGCUGAGUCCCCUUUGGGGCCAGGCCCCCAGCAAUCCCUCUCAGGGCUAUGGGCUUCCGAAGAGGGGCUUUUGCCGGUUUUUUCACUUGCCUCACCCAUGGGGAAUACAUGUAUGGGAACUUUUCUGGUUACUGCCAGCGAAGAGGUAAAUGGGAGGAGUUCUACCUCUCUGUGGGAACCUCCUUUCACCUAACAAUGUCCUGUUUCACUAAAACUCUUAUGUACUAUCCAAGCUUUCUUCUACCUCUCUGUGGGAACAUUCUUUCACCUGGGAAUGUCCCCCACUCUUCUGUUUGUUACUCCUGCCAGCAGUCGGAAACAUGCCUAAGGUUGCCACCAUCUUGGCCAUGUGACCUACCUGUAGGCACGCCCACCACAGCCACCUGUGCCAGCAAACCUGGCUGCCAGAUUUUUUGCUUUUUAUUUUUGUCUCUGAUUCCUUUCACUGGCCCUGUUGU